rnacentral:rRNA from 1 species
GUGCCAGCAGCAGCGGUAAUACAGAGACCUCGAGCGUUAUCCGGUAUCACUGGGCGUAAAGCGUACCGAUCGGUUGUUUAGUGUGUCUAAAGUGAAAGACCGAAGCCUAACUUCGUGUUUGCUUUGGAAACUACUAAACUUGAAGGGCAAAGAGGUGGUUGGAACUCUGCAAGUAGGGGUGAAAUCCGUUGAUAUGCAGGGGAACACCAAAAGCGAAGGCAGACCACUAGGUGCCUCUUGACACUGCUAGGACGAAAGCGUGGGGAGAGAACGGGAUUAGAUACCCCGGUAUUCCACGCCCUAAACGAUGAGUGCUAGUUUUUGGGGAAAGUUAAUCUUCCUCGGAGACAAAGCUAACGCAUUAAGCACUCCGCCUGUAGAGUACGAGCGCAAGCUUAAAACAUAAAGGAAUUGACGGGAACCCGCACAAGCGGUGGAUCAUGUGGCUUAAUUCGAUAAUAAGCGAGGAACCUCACCUAGGUUUGACAUGCAACUGCACGACUAAUGAAAGUUAGUUUCUUUCGAAGGUGUUGCACAGAUGAUGCACGGUCGUCGUCAGCUCGUGUCGUGAGAUGUUCGGUUAAGUCCGGUAACGAGCGCAACCCCAAUCCUUAGUUAUUUAAUGUCUAAGGAGACUGCCCGAGUUUAAUCGGGAGGAAGGCUGGGAUGACGUCAGAUCAGCGUGUCUCUUACAUCUAGGGCGGCACACAUGAUACAAUGGGUAAGGUACAACGGGACAGCAAAAGGGUGACCUGAAGCAAAUCCUAAAAAACCUCCCUCAGUACGGAUCGAAGUCUGCAACUCGACUUC